UAACUUCGGGAGAAGGCACGCUGGUGUGUAGGUGAAGUCCCUGCGGAUGGAGCUGAGACCAGUCGAAGAUACCAGCUGGCUGCAACUGUUUAUUAAAAACACAGCACUGUGCAAACACGAAAGUGGACGUAUACGGUGUGACGCCUGCCCGGUGCCGGAAGGUUAAUUGAUGGGGUUAUCCGUAAGGAGAAGCUCUUGAUCGAAGCCCCGGUAAACGGCGGCCGUAACUAUAACGGUCCUAAGGUAGCGAAAUUCCUUGUCGGGUAAGUUCCGACCUGCACGAAUGGCGUAAUGAUGGCCAGGCUGUCUCCACCCGAGACUCAGUGAAAUUGAACUCGCUGUGAAGAUGCAGUGUACCCGCGGCAAGACGGAAAGACCCCGUGAACCUUUACUAUAGCUUGACACUGAACAUUGAGCCUUGAUGUGUAGGAUAGGUGGGAGGCUUUGAAGCGUGGACGCCAGUCUGCGUGGAGCCAACCUUGAAAUACCACCCUUUAAUGUUUGAUGUUCUAACGUUGGCCCCUGACCGGGGUUGCGGACAGUGUCUGGUGGGUAGUUUGACUGGGGCGGUCUCCUCCCAAAGCGUAACGGAGGAGCACGAAGGUUAGCUAAUCCUGGUCGGACAUCAGGAGGUUAGUGCAAUGGCAUAAGCUAGCUUGACUGCGAGCGUGACGGCGCGAGCAGGUGCGAAAGCAGGUCAUAGUGAUCCGGUGGUUCUGAAUGGAAGGGCCAUCGCUCAACGGAUAAAAGGUACUCCGGGGAUAACAGGCUGAUACCGCCCAAGAGUUCAUAUCGACGGCGGUGUUUGGCACCUCGAUGUCGGCUCAUCACAUCCUGGGGCUGAAGUAGGUCCCAAGGGUAUGGCUGUUCGCCAUUUAAAGUGGUACGCGAGCUGGGUUUAGAACGUCGUGAGACAGUUCGGUCCCUAUCUGCCGUGGGCGCUGGAGAAUUGAGGGGGGCUGCUCCUAGUACGAGAGGACCGGAGUGGACGCAUCACUGGUGUUCGGGUUGUCAUGCCAAUGGCACUGCCCGGUAGCUAAAUGCGGAAGAGAUAAGUGCUGAAAGCAUCUAAGCACGAAACUUGCCCCGAGAUGAGUUCUCCCUGAGACUUUAAGUCUCCUGAAGGAACGUUAAAGACGAUGACGUUGAUAGGCCGGGUGUGUAAGCGCAGCGAUGCGUUGAGCUAACCGGUACUAAUGAACCGUGAGGCUUAACCUU
rnacentral:rRNA from 1 species